UUACGGCCACAUCACCUUGAAAAUACCAGUUCCCGUACGAUCACCGAAGUUAAGCAAUACCGAUCCUGCUCAUUACAUUGGUGUGUAACCGCUUAAGAAUAGCAGGUGCUGUAAG